UACGUAGGGUGCGAGCGUUGUCCGGAAUUAUUGGGCGUAAAGAGCUCGUAGGCGGUGUGUCACGUCGGCCGUGAAAACCUGCAGCUUAACUGUGGGCGUGCGGUCGAUACGGGCAUUACUGGAGUUCGGCAGGGGAGACUGGAAUUCCUGGUGUAGCGGUGAAAUGCGCAGAUAUCAGGAGGAACACCGGUGGCGAAGGCGGGUCUCUGGGCCGAUACUGACGCUGAGGAGCGAAAGCGUGGGGAGCGAACAGG
rnacentral:rRNA from 1 species